GAGGAUGUAGCUCAGAUGGUAGAGCGCUCGCUUAGCAUGCGGGAGGUAGUGAGAUCGAUAUUCAGCAUCUCCG
rnacentral:tRNA from 1 species